UGGACAUAUUGUCACACAUGAAUGAGUUGAACGUUAAACUGCAGGGGAAAGAUCAGUUUGUGCACGACAUGUACACAAAUGUGAGAACCUUCAAAUCUAAGCUGAUUUUAUUCUCCAGGCAAAUGUCAAACAAAUCUUUCGCUCAUUUUCCCACACUGGCCAUGCAGAAGGCCACCCGAAACGUGAAGAAAUACUGCAGAUCACUGGACGACAUGCACAGAGAAUUCUGCCGUCGGUUCACUGAUUUUGAAAAAAUUGAAAAGUCACUUCAGCUGGUUUCCUGUCCCCUGUCACAAGACCCUGAAACAGCACCGCAUGAGCUGCAAUUGGAGCUGAUCGAUCUCCAGUCUGACUCCGUCUCAAAAGAGAAGUUCAGAUCUCUUAAACUGAAUGACUUUUAUGCUUCACUUAACGAAGCCACAUUUCCAAACCUCCAGAGGAUGGCACAGAAGAUGCUGGUAUUGUUUGGCUCGACCUACGUGUGUGAGCAGACUUUCAGCGUCAUGAACAUCAACAAAGCCUGUCACAGAUUCCGGUUAACUGACCAACACCUCAGAUCGAUUCUGAGAAUUGCCACAAUGAAACUAACUCCAGACUUUGAUGCACUGGCAAACAAGGGAGAACAACACUGUUCCCACUGAGAUAGCCCAAAUGAAGAGAAAAGGGAAUAUCUCCCAGUUCUUCUUAAAGAGGCAAAAACCAGACCAGAUCCAGACAGAACCCUGCAGCAGUGACCAGGACCAGACAGAACCUGCAGCAGUGACCAGGACCAGACAGAACCCUGCAGCAGUGACCAGGACCAGACAGAACCCUGCAGCAGUGACCAGGACCAGACAGAACCCUGCAGCAGUGACCAACCUGGAGAAUCCAGCCAGGAGACUCCAGGCCCAAGUGUAUCACCAGCAGGUUAGAGGCUGUGACAGAGAGUUAAGUAUUAAAAUCCAAUAAGCCUAAUUCUAAAGGUUAGCAUGAUGCUUUUGCAUUUUUUAUUGUGUCUGUUUAUGCAUUUCCAAUUAAGUUCCAGAGAGAGAUGAGGGUGAUACAGAUUCAGAGUCAGACUCUGGGGAGGAAGACAGUGAAGCAGAAGGAAAUGGCACUGAACUGCUCCACCCAGCACAACCUAUUGCACACCAGAAGCACCAGUUUAUUUAUUUAUUUAUUUUUGAGAAUUUGUUUUUGGUCAUAUUCUGGGCUCUGAGUUUACAUUUACAUGUUCACUGUUCCAUAGUGCCGUUUAACGUCUUGUUUGGUCAUGGCAAAUCUUAGUUAAAUAAACCAUUUUAAUUUGA